ACACAUGCACACGGCCCAACUGAACAAUGAACACUCCCAAACACGAGCCCAUCCCCUCCCCGUCUUGGCGUCUCUCAAUGUGCAGCGCCGCUCACCUCACCGGCGACCCGAAUCCCUCGCCGUCCCCGUACAUGAUACCCGGCGCGUGUCCACUUGGUCUCCGUUCCGCUCCGCCGCGCUGCGAGGUAUGCCGAAAGUUUCCUCUCCUAAUCGACUCUCGUGUUUCUGGACGAAGGGAAAUGGAUGGUGGGCGAGGCGGGGCCGUGGGGGCGUAACGCGCGACUACCUUGAGCCGAGAUGACUGCUCUGGGUGCGCACGGACGCCGAAACGCGGGCCGGUUUUCGCGGGGCUCGAACGGGGGAGACGCAGAGUGACCAGGCGAGGGCGAAUUUUGAGGAGCUGCCCCCGGAAUUUUGGCAGGAUUUUAGGUUUCGCGGUGUAGAUUAUGUUGUACUCCCUCCGUUCCUAAAUAUUUGUCUUUUUAGAUAUUUCAAAUGGACUAUCACAUACGGAUGUAUAUAGACAUAUUUUAGAUUGUAGAUUCACUCAUUUUGCUUUGUAUGUAGUCACUUGUUGAAAUCUUUAGAAAGACAAAUAUUUAGGAACGGAGGGAGUAGUUAGGACCUCCUUGUGAUCGUAUCCACGUGGCCAUGUGGAUGCGUGGCUUGGUGCAAAUGUGACUAUUGCCUUUGUUGGUUUAUAGGCAAUGCUUUUGUUGGUUUUGCUGCUUUUGGGAGGUUAAGGUUUCUGGACAUAAUUUCUGAAUGCUUGUUGUUUCGAGCUAGUAGUAGUUAUUUACAAUGCCUCUGAAGUUUGAAUUCAGAUGAAUGUCAGAUAAAAGCAUGGAUUCUUGUUAAUAACUCUGGCAUUGCAAGUUCAUUAUAUAUUUGCGAAGUAAUGUGCACUAUGCAGGUGCUUUACCUGUCUCAUGCAUCUGAUUCAAGCGAAGCUGGAUGACAAUUUGCUAGUUCUGUGUCUUCCUGCCAUGGUAUGUUUAGCAGGGAAGAGUCCUUCCUAAAGAGCACAAUUGUGUUGUAUGUGGGUGACAUGGCAAGUACACAUGUGGCCAAAUAAUGGAAGCUUUUGACUCUGUUAAUGCUUUUUCGAAGCGGACUCUGUUAAUGCUAGGUAUCUGCAAAGAAACAGUUAUGUUCCCAGUUGACAAAAUCUCUAGUUGUUCAAAUGUGCAGUUGUGGCACUUAUGGACUAGCAAGGACCAUUUGCAGUUGCUCCUGUUGGUGGAAGAGCAAGCAAUAGUGCUUCAAAAGGAUCUACCUUUUAAAACUUCUCUAUGGCGAUCCUUUGCCCCAGAAAUGGAGAAAUUGAGAUGUGUGGUACCACUAUCUAUAGUAGGCUGGUUGAUCCUACAAUGUUGAACCUUAUAAUCUUCUGCACCCUUGUUUGGAUGAUUUAGAUUGUUUAAAGUCAAUGACAUGUAGGUAUUUAUAGGCCAUGUAACUCUUUCAAGCACUUCCACAAGACCUAAUUGCGUCAUUUUAACCAGGUUGUGAUGUUUCAGCAUUCAGCAGCAGUAUGUUUGAUCAGGAAGACUAAAACUCUGGUGACAGUAAUAUAUGUACCAGAUGGAAACAAAGUAAGCUGUACAAAGGAUUUGAACAACUGAACAAGUAGUCACCAUUGUGGAGUUGUAGAAUUUUCAUUACAGGAGAAAUAUCUGCCACUGUUUCUAACAAGUUUAUGGACAGAGUAUGAAUCGUGGAUUUUGAGAGUAUGCCAAGUCAUAUUUAGUUAACCUGAAAAAUUCCUCCAAGCAGUAUCUUGAAUGGAGGACGGGGAUGUGUUAAUUUCUUUGCGAUUGAGGAUGACUGCAAGAUUUUAGUUGGUCUGUUCAUUCUCUGAAGCCUGUCGGAGUGCAGUGGCGACUCUUCGUCUCUUUGACAUGCAUUCUAUAGCAUAAAUUCAUAUGACAAAUGUAAAUUAUCUGCCCCUAUGUCAGUGUAAACAAUAUAUGAGUCAAAUACAAAGGUAUGAUUUGCAGUUUUCCUUUAUCCUAUUGUAGUUGUUCAAGUUUUUGAUUUGUGAAAGUAAUUGUUAGAAUCCGUUUGUAGUUAAUGAGUUACAUCACAGCUUUAGAACAUUUGAUUCUGUACUUGUGUGGCUAGCUCUAGCACAGGCAACUAUGAUUGAUGUCUUACCAUAUAUAGGAGUGACUCUAUA
rnacentral:lncRNA from 1 species